GUAUACUUUUGAAUACAGAAGAUGUCCUUCAAAAUCAUUAUUUUAUGCGCUCAAGCUUUUUUGAUGCAGAGCAUCACCGCACAAUGUAUCGGUAAUGCGUUUGCUGAAAACAUAGCUUGGAGUCCAUCUUACCCCAUGCCUUAUGGGCCUGCUCCAGUGCCGUACGCACCAGCCCCAGUACAAUACGCACCUGCCCCAGUCCCAUACGCACCCGCCCCUAUGUCAUACGCACCUGCUUCUUCAUACAUGUCUAAUAGCUAUUAUGUGUCAAGUCCGUAUAACCCAGCAAGUCUAUCUGCAUCAAACGCAUGUGGUCUUGCCGUAUCCAGUUCAUCACCGGUGGCCCCAGUAGGUGUGACUAUGAUGUCAGAUAAUGCCUUCGAGGGUCCAUUAGCAGUAGCUGGGCAAAUGCCGUUCCUAGGAGCUGUUGGUGUUCAAGGUAAUCUUCCUACCUCUGGUGCUGGGGCUGUUUCAUAUAAUGGUGGUAAUGGCCAGGUUGCAAUAAUGGCUGAAGAUCUUACUGGUUAUGGCUACCCAGGCUACUCUUAUGGAGCAAGUGGGUAUACCUAUGAAGGGUAUUAUUAAAAACCUGUUGAUAAUAAAUGUUAAUACAAUGUUUCGUUAA